rnacentral:rRNA from 1 species
GAAGCUGGAAUCGCUAGUAAUCGCAGAUCAGAAUGCUGCGGUGAAUACGCUCCCGGGUCUUGUACACACCGCCCGUCACACCAUGGGAGUUGGAAAUGCCCGAAGUCGGUGACCUAACCGAAAGGGAGGAGCCGCCGAAGGCAGGUCUGAUAACUGGGGUGAAGUCGUAACAAGGUACC